GUCGUGGUGGCAGAGCGGUCUAAUGCGUAUGACUAGAAAAAUUACGACAUCAUAUCUCUUCGGAGGCGCAGGUUCAAAUCCUGCCCACGACU
rnacentral:tRNA from 1 species